AGUGAACGCUGGCGGUAGGCCUAACACAUGCAAGUCGAACGGCAGCACAGUAAGAGCUUGCUCUUACGGGUGGCGAGUGGCGGACGGGUGAGGAAUACAGCGGAAUCUACUUUUUCGUGGGGGAUAACGUAGGGAAACUUACGCUAAUACCGCAUACGACCUACGGGUGAAAGCAGGGGAUCUUCGGACCUUGCGCGAGUGAAUGAGCCGAUGUCGGAUUGGCUAGUUGGCGGGGUAAAGGCCCACCAAGGCGACGAUCCGUAGCUGGUCUGAGAGGAUGAUCAGCCAAACUGGAACUGAGACACGGUCCAGACUCCUACGGGAGGCAGCAGUGGGGAAUAUUGGACAAUGGGCGCAAGCCUGAUCCAGCCAUACCGCGUGGGUGAAGAAGGCCUUCGGGUUGUAAAGCCCUUUUGUUGGGAAAGAAAAGCAGCAGGUUAAUACCCCGCUGUUCUGACGGUACCCAAAGAAUAAGCACCGGCUAACUUCGUG
rnacentral:rRNA from 1 species